rnacentral:rRNA from 1 species
GACGACGGGUANCCGGCCUGAGAGGGNGACCGGCCACACUGGGACUGAGACACGGCCCAGACUCCUACGGGAGGCAGCAGUGGGGAAUAUUGCACAAUGGGCGAAAGCCUGAUGCAGCGACGCCGCGUGGGGGAUGACGGCCUUCGGGUUGUAAACCCCUUUCAGUAGGGAAGAAGCGAAAGUGACGGUACCUGCAGAAGAAGCGCCGGCUAACUACGUGCCAGCAGCCGCGGUAAUACACACA